rnacentral:rRNA from 1 species
AUUGAACGCUGGCGGCAUGCUUUACACAUGCAAGUCGAACGGUAACAGGUUAAGCUGACGAGUGGCGAACGGGUGAGUAAUGCAUCGGAACGUGCCCGGUCGUGGGGGAUAACGCAGAGAAAGCUGCGCUAAUACCGCAUACGAUCUGAGGAUGAAAGCGGGGGACCGUAAGGCCUCGCGCGAUCGGAGCGGCCGAUGUCAGAUUAGGUAGUUGGUGGGGUAAAGGCUCACCAAGCCGGCGAUCUGUAGCUGGUCUGAGAGGACGACCAGCCACACUGGGACUGAGACACGGCCCAGACUCCUACGGGAGGCAGCAGUGGGGAAUUUUGGACAAUGGGCGCAAGCCUGAUCCAGCAAUGCCGCGUGCAGGAAGAAGGCCUUCGGGUUGUAAACUGCUUUUGUACGGAGCGAAAAGGCUCUCUCUAAUACGGAGGGCUCAUGACGGUACCGUAAGAAUAAGCACCGGCUAACUACGUGCCAGCAGCCGCCGUAA